rnacentral:rRNA from 1 species
UGGCAAACGGGUGGUAAUGCCGGAUGCUCCGACUCCUCGCAUGGGGUGUCGGGAAAGAUUUCAUCGGUAUGGGAUGGGGUCGCGUCCUAUCAGGUAGUCGGCGGGGUAACGGCCCACCGAGCCUACGACGGGUAGCCGGCCUGAGAGGGCGACCGGCCACAUUGGGACUGAGAUACGGCCCAGACUCCUACGGGAGGCAGCAGUGGGGAAUAUUGCACAAUGGGCGCAAGCCUGAUGCAGCGACGCCGCGUGCGGGAUGACGGCCUUCGGGUUGUAAACCGCUUUUGAUCGGGAGCAAGCCUUCGGGUGAGUGUACCUUUCGAAUAAGCACCGGCUAACUACGUGCCAGCAGCCGCGGUAAUACGUAGGGUGCAAGCGUUAUCCGGAAUUAUUGGGCGUAAAGGGCUCGUAGGCGGUUCGUCGCGUCCGGUGUGAAAGUCCAUCGCUUAACGGUGGAUCUGCGCCGGGUACGGGCGGGCUGGAGUGCGGUAGGGGAGACUGGAAUUCCCGGUGUAACGGUGGAAUGUGUAGAUAUC